CAAUAGCGUAUAUUUAAGUUGUUGCAGUUAAAAGCUCGUAGUUGGAUUUCUGCUGAGGACGACCGGUCCGCCCUCUGGGUGAGUAUCUGGUUCGGCCUGGGCAUCUUCUUGGAGAGCGUAGCUGCACUUGACUGUGUGGUGCGGUAUCCAGGACUUUUACUUUGAGGAAAUUAGAGUGUUUCAAGCAGGCACACGCCUUGAAUACAUUAGCAUGGAAUAAUAAGAUAGGACCUCGGUUCUAUUUUGUUGGUUUCUAGAGCUGAGGUAAUGAUUAAUAGGGAUAGUUGGGGCGAUUCGUAUUUAACUGUCAGAGGUGAAAUUCUUGGAUUUGUUAAAGACUGGACUAACUGCGAAAGCAUUUGCCAAGGAUGUUUUCAUUGAUCAAGAACGAAAUGUUAGGGGAUCGAAGAAUGAUCGA
rnacentral:rRNA from 1 species